rnacentral:rRNA from 1 species
AUGAAGUUCCCUUCUGUCGAAAAGAUAGAUGAAAUGAAAGCGUAUAAAUAUUUUGGUCUGAUUGGCAGCAAAGCUAACGUGAAGGUGAACAGAUGGACGAACUCCUCUAUGGCCUCUUACAAGAUGUAUGUAUGCUGGGUCACAAUAUCAGGAGUGUCAGAAACAUUGCAUCAUUACCAGGGCUUUUGUGAAGCUGGGUCACUAAUCGGGCAUGUGUUUGAAUUGGAUAUGGAGUUGUACAGACAAUGUGAGAUACUCAGAGCAAAUGUGGGUGUCAUGGACCCGAGGAAAAUUCCACCCAGUGCGCCUCUCCAUGAGGAUGGGUACAUAUAA